CUCUCCCUCUUUCUUCAGGCCUAACACAUGCAAGUCGAACGAACCUUUCGGGGUUAGUGGCGGACGGGUGAGUAACACGUGGGAACGUGCCUUUAGGUUCGGAAUAACUCAGGGAAACUUGUGCUAAUACCGAAUGUGCCCUUCGGGGGAAAGAUUAAUCGCCUUUAGAGCGGCCCGCGUCUGAUUAGCUAGUUGGUUGAGGUAAUGGCUCACCAAGGCGACGAUCAGUAGCUGGUCUGAGAGGAUGAUCAGCCACAUUGGGACUGAGACACGGCCCAAACUCCUACGGGAGGCAGCAGUGGGGAAUCUUGCGCAAUGGGCGAAAGCCUGACGCAGCCAUGCCGCGUGAAUGAUGAAGGUCUUAGGAUUGUAAAAUUCUUUCACCGGAGACGAUAAUGACGGUACCCGGAGAAGAAGCCCCGGCUAACUUCGUG
rnacentral:rRNA from 1 species